rnacentral:tRNA from 1 species
AGCUCUGAGGUGUAUUCACAUAUAAGAUUGCAAAUCUUAAGACGCAGACUAGCCGUCUGCCGGGGCUU